UACGUAGGGUGCAAGCGUUAAUCGGAAUUACUGGGCGUAAAGCGUGCGCAGGCGGUUAUGCAAGACAGAUGUGAAAUCCCCGGGCUCAACCUGGGAACUGCAUUUGUGACUGCAUGGCUAGAGUACGGUAGAGGGGGAUGGAAUUCCGCGUGUAGCAGUGAAAUGCGUAGAUAUGCGGAGGAACACCGAUGGCGAAGGCAAUCACCUGGAGCUGUACUGACGCUCAUGCACGAAAGCGUGGGGAGCAAACAGG
rnacentral:rRNA from 1 species